AGAGUUUGAUCAUGGCUCAGGAUGAACGCUGGCGGCGUGCUUAACACAUGCAAGUCGAACGAUGAAGCCCAGCUUGCUGGGUGGAUUAGUGGCGAACGGGUGAGUAACACGUGAGUAACCUGCCCUUAACUCUGGGAUAAGCCUGGGAAACUGGGUCUAAUACCGGAUAGGAGCGUCCACCGCAUGGUGGGUGUUGGAAAGAUUUAUCGGUUUUGGAUGGACUCGCGGCCUAUCAGCUUGUUGGUGAGGUAAUGGCUCACCAAGGCGACGACGGGUAGCCGGCCUGAGAGGGUGACCGGCCACACUGGGACUGAGACACGGCCCAGACUCCUACGGGAGGCAGCAGUGGGGAAUAUUGCACAAUGGGCGAAAGCCUGAUGCAGCGACGCCGCGUGAGGGAUGACGGCCUUCGGGUUGUAAACCUCUUUCAGUAGGGAAGAAGCGAAAGUGACGGUACCUGCAGAAGAAGCACCGGCUAACUACGUGCCAGCAGCCGCGGU
rnacentral:rRNA from 1 species